AAUCAACGCUGGCGGCGUGCCUAACACAUGCAAGUCGAACGCGAAAGCCCCUUCGGGGGCGAAGUAGAGUGGCGUCCGGGUGAGUAACACGUGGGUAAUCUACCUCCGGGUGGGGAAUAACUCGCCGAAAGGCGGGCUAAUACCGCAUAAUGCAGCGGCACCGAAUGGUGAUUAGUUGUUAAAGCGGGGGACCUUAGGGCCUCGCGUCUGGAGAGGAGCCUGCGGCAGAUUAGCUUGUUGGUAGGGAAUGGCCUACCAAGGCUGCGAUCUGUAGCUGGUCUGAGAGGAUGAUCAGCCACACUGGAACUGAGACACGGUCCAGACUCCUACGGGGAGGCAGCAGUGGGGAAUAUUGGACAAUGGGCGCAAAGCCUGAUCCAGCCAUGCCGCGUGUGUGAAG
rnacentral:rRNA from 1 species